CGCCCACCGACAACCAGUGCUGCCAGUUCCACCAGUACGCGCUCAGAGCUGAAAAGUGCAAGGAAAUGACGAGACUGCUACGCGACUUUGCCAGACUGUAUCGGUAAAAGAUAUAAUGCUAUAUAAAUGGGUAUAUAUUAUAUCUUUAAACGAGAACCACAGCAUACUCUUACAGACAACUAUCGUAGAUGGAAUGAUACAAAUAUACAAUGCCAAUUAUUGUAAAAAUUAUACGAUUUUUUUCUUUUUCUGUAAUAAAAAAAUUCCGUAACCCAAAUUUUUAGGCGAAAUGUAGGUAAAUUAGUGAUUAUAUACAAAUAUUAUCGAGGUAUAUAAAUAUAUACCUAUAAAUAAGGUUAUACGUGGAUGACUGAAUAUAUCAAAAUGCUCAGAACAAAACAAGUCAGUAGUUUAAAUGCAGACUUUUAAUUUCGUUAAGCGUAAAUCUCGUAAAAAAAGCAAUAAUAACAAUUUAAUUCAAUUGUUUAAAGUUAAACAAUUAAACUUUCUCAGGCUACGAAAAGGACAAUCAUGGGAAAAAAAAUUACUUUAAAUUGCUGUAAAUUCUGACAUUUAUAAAUUACUUUUAUAAAGUGUAGGACACAGCGACCGUCGAAUUCGUACCGACAAAUAUUCUGCUAAGUUAACAAUAACUCUUUUCUUUGAAAUGUGAUAUCGCCUGCAUUACAUUGUAAAUAAUUAUUAAAUGGUUACUUUUA